GGGUGAGUAACGCGUGGAUAACCUGCCCCAUACAGGGGGAUAACAGUUAGAAAUGACUGCUAAUACCGCAUAAGCGCACAGUAUCGCAUGAUACGGUGUGAAAAACUCCGGUGGUAUGGGAUGGAUCCGCGUCUGAUUAGCCAGUUGGCGGGGUAGAGGCCCACCAAAGCGACGAUCAGUAGCCGACCUGAGAGGGUGACCGGCCACAUUGGGACUGAGACACGGCCCAA
rnacentral:rRNA from 1 species